CCCAGCCCAAACAGUACACAAAACCCUAGCUGCGUCAAAUACUCAACCCCACCCUCAUCCCAACCCCACCCCCUAUAUAUACAUCUCAUCUCUAUUGCUUUCUUCAUCGUCUUCUGCUGGUUAUCGGUUCUUAAUAGUUGGUUAAUUAAUGCGUCUAUUUACCAAUUCUGGGGGAUUUUCAGUUCUUCUCGGUAUAAUGGCUCAGACGCAAUAUUGAAAGUGGUUAUAUCCUGAUUGAUGGACUUGUAAUCAGUGCCAUAUUAUCCUGGAAACGCUACUUAAAUUUCCUUUAAUCAAUUUAAUGUUUUUGUUUCACUAAUUAGAUUAUGCAUGUACUACUAUGUGAAUCACUAAUUUUAAAAUUAAUCAACGAAAUCUAUUGUUCUUUUGAAUG